GGGGGCACAUCAGCGGCAGACGGGUGAGUAACACGUANGGUACCUACCCCAGAGACAGGGAUAACCCGAGGAGGGCGAGGGCUAAUACCGGAUGACCUCCGGAAGGAGGAAAGGCUCAGGCGCUCUGGGAGGGGCUUGCGGNCCAUCAGCUAGUUGGUAGGGUAAAGGCCUACCAAGGCGAAGACGGGUAGGGGGUGUGAGAGCACGGCCCCCCACAAUGGGACUGAAACACGGCCCAUACUCCUACGGGAGGCAGCAGCGAGGGAAUAUUGCACAAUAGGCGAAAGCCUGAUGCAGCGACGCCGCGUGAGUGAAGAAGGCCUUCGGGUCGUAAAGCUCUUUUGUAGGGGAAGAGGAAGGACGGUACCCUAAGAAGAAGCGUCGGCUAACUACGUGCCAGCAGCCGCGGUAAGACGUAGGACGCGAGCGUUAUCCGGAAUUACUGGGCGUAAAGGGCCAGCAGGCGGCUUGGUAAGUUGUGCGUGAAAGCCUCGUGCUCAACGCGAGGAAGCCGGACAAUACUGUCAAGCUAGAGGGCAUCAGAGGGGAGUGGAAUUCCCGGAGUAGCGGUAAAAUGCGCAGAUAUCGGGAGGAACACCGAUGGCGAAGGCAGCUCCCUGGGAUGCACCUGACGCUAAGAGGCGAAAGCUAGGGGAGCGAACAGGAUUAGAGACCCUGGUAGUCCUAGCUGUAAACGCUGGGUGCUAGGUGUGGGACGUAGAAGUUCCGUGCCGGAGCAAACGCGAUAAGCACCCCGCCUGGGAAUUACGGUCGCAAGGCUAAAACUCAAACGAAUUGACGGGGCCCCGCACAAGCAGCGGAGCGUGUGGUCAAUUCGAUGCUACA
rnacentral:rRNA from 1 species